CCCUGCCCUCUGUGUCUCACACCCUUUGGGCUGCAACGCUUUUCCUCUCUCUCUCUGCGUUUGUUGGAUAUUUUUUUGUCUGCCACGAAAUUUAGGGUUUUGAGAUUUGAAUUUCCUACCAUGGGUUCGCUGAGAUUAUCACUUUGAACGCCCUCUCUCAUCUCGUUUAGGCUCUUUAGGGUUUUCUCUCCUUCAUUUUUGUUUAGGUCCUUGAGGGUUUUCUCUCCCACCGCCUACCUUGCCGUUUUGCUCUCUCAGCUGGUCACUGUUAGUCCACGGAACACAUCGACACAGGAGGUAACUCUCUGCACCUCUCUUCUCCAACGAAGAUGAUGCUACCUCCCUUCUCCAUCUUCGUCUCCAGUUGACGGUGCGGGAACCUCGAAUGGAAAUCCAGCUGCUGCAACUCUCCUUCGCGGUGCACAGAGCGAUCUCUGCAAGCGAUCCGACUACAAGGUGAGCUCAUUCGGUGCAGUGAACGAAUUGCGUAGUUUGUCUCCCACAUUCGAAGAUUCUCAGGGAAUUCUCGCUGCCAUUACUGA